GCUGACAGAAUGCUUACACAUGCAAUCUACUGAUCCUUCGGGUGAAGGUGGCGGACGGGUGAGUAACGCGUAAAGAACUUGCCUUACAGACUGGGACAACAUUUGGAAACGAAUGCUAAUACCGGAUAUUAUGAUUGGGUCGCAUGAUCUGAUUAUGAAAGCUAUAUGCGCUGUGAGAGAGCUUUGCGUCCCAUUAGUUAGUUGGGGAGGUAACGGCUCACCAAGACGAUGAUGGGUAGCCGGCCUGAGAGGGUGAACGGCCACAAGGGGACUGAGACACGGCCCUUACUCCUACGGGAGGCAGCAGUGGGGAAUAUUGGACAAUGGACCAAAAGUCUGAUCCAGCAAUUCUGUGUGCACGAAGAAGUUUUUCGGAAUGUAAAGUGCUUUCAGUUGGGAAGAAGUCAGUGACGGUACCAACAGAAGAAGCGACGGCUAAAUACGUGCCAGCAGCCGCGGUAAUACGUAUGUCGCAAGCGUUAUCCGGAUUUAUUGGGCGUAAAGCGCGUCUAGGCGGCUUAGUAAGUCUGAUGUGAAAAUGCGGGGCUCAACCCCGUAUUGCGUUGGAAACUGCUAAACUAGAGUACUGGAGAGGUAGGCGGAACUACAAGUGUAGAGGUGAAAUUCGUAGAUAUUUGUAGGAAUGCCGAUGGGGAAGCCAGCCUACUGGACAGAUAC
rnacentral:rRNA from 1 species